CUGAGAACGUAAGAAUGUGGGGGAACACAUUCUGUAGUUAAGAGAAAGUGAGGUUGAGAGAGAGAAUUCUCUGUAGACAACUUCUGCAACUCUCUGUGUAAACUUUCUGAGAGUUUUCUGGUUGUUCUCGGGUGAGUGAUGAGUGCUGUUGUCGUGUAAUUCAAACACUGUAAUAAUUCCUCUUGUAAUGGCAGAUUGACUGGAGUUAAAUCCCUGCAAGUUGGUUGAUGAAAUUUAGUCCCAAGACCAAGAAAUUCUUGAGUCUAUCUAUCUGAUUCUUUGCUGGUUUUAUGUUCUGCCAUUGCUGUGGUUUCUUUCCUGUCUAUUAAUGCAAAUAUGUGAAUGAUCAUUGUUUCAUAGGACAUGGGAGAUUGGUAAAAAUCCUAACAGUGGUAUCAGAGCACAUGGUUGUGAUCUAGGUGAAAGAUUUGCAAAGGUUUGAAGGUUCUUUAUCAAAUUUCUGAUAAUUGUUCAUACACCAAUCAUGAGAGAAUUUUUCCUGGCCAGAAUAUUGCUUUCAUGAUGUCUAUGUUCAAGUCUGAAGUUGAAAAAUUUGAUGGAAAGAAAGACUUCAACCUGUGGAGAGAAAAGAUGAUGGCGCACUUGGGAAAUCUUGAAAUAAAGAUUGAAGAUGAGGACCAAGCAAUUUUCUUGUUGAAUUCAUUGCCUGAUCAGUUAAGAAAUCCUUUCUUGGAGUAUAAACUAGAUCAUGGAAGCAAAGUUUUGCUGGGAAAUAACACCACCUGUGAUGUAGUGGAUGUUGGAGUAAUUAAGCUGAAAAUGUGGGAUGAUCUUGAGAGGAAUUUGAUCUCACUUGGAGCUUUGGUUGAAUCUGGUUGUAUCUACAAGGCUCAAGGUGGAGUACUAGAUGUUAUGAAAGGAUUCUUGGUUGUGGUGAAAGGACUACUCUACGUUUUGCAGGAAAAUAUAGUCGAUGGUGAAGCUGCCAUGUUUGAAAACAAAGAGGAGCAGGUUGUGUUGAACUCAUUACAAGAAAAUAACCAGAAAAAUGACCAAAAGGGUGGAUCUGGUAAUCUGCAAGAGGAGGAUGCAGAUGAUGAAGCUGAAGUUAGAGGAAGUCUUGACUGUCUAAAGUGCCACAAGCAGGAGAAAUCUAAGUCUUUUGUGUGCAAGAAGUAAUUUCCAAGAGGGAAGUUGAAGUUGUCAAGCUUGUCACUGAAGUUGGUCAUGCUGAUUUGCUUAUUUGCUCACCAAAAAUAAUCCAGUUAGCAAGAUGCAUUAGCAUUGGAUUGCUGAAGAUUAAGGCUGUAUGAUCAACCAUGCAAGGUGUUCUUGAAGUUUUUUAGUCAAUCUUGGUUUAACAACACUCAUCAAGACUCAAAGAUGGAGAUUGUAGAGAAAAUAUUGAUUCUUGAUUUGGUUAUUAAACUCAUUAGGUGGAUUAGUUAGUGAGUUAGAAAAUCAGUUAGGAGCCUUUGGUUCUAACUAAUUUUCUAGUAGUUGUUAUAGCUGAAUAAUAGAUGUAUUUUCUUAUAAAUCUCUACAUUCCUAUGCCUAUAAAUAGGAUAGAGGGUUGAGAGCCUGAGAAUGUGAGCAAGUCUGAGAGCGUAAGAAUGUGGAGGAACACAUUCUGUAGUUAAGAGAAAGUGAGGUUGAGAGAGAGAAUUCUCUGUAGACAACUUCUGCAACUUUCUGAGAGUUUUUUGGUUGUUCUUGGGUGAGUGAUGAGUGCUGUUAUUGUGUAAUUCAAACACUGUAAUAAUUCCUGUUGUAAUGGCAGAUUGACUGGGGUUAAAUCCCUGCAAGUUGGUUGAUGAAAUUUAGUCCCAUCUUGGAGACGCUGGAUGAGGACCUCUGCUUCUUUACUCAUAGCAAACCUCUUCAAGAAAGUGAUUUUGAAUUCUUG
rnacentral:lncRNA from 1 species